UACGUAGGGUCCGAGCGUUGUCCGGAAUUACUGGGCGUAAAGGGCGCGUAGGCGGGAUGGCAAGUCGGUCGUGAAAUCCUUCGGCUCAACCGAAGAACGUCGAUCGAUACUGCUGUUCUUUGAGGGUUGCAGAGGAGACUGGAAUUCCCGGUGUAGCGGUGAAAUGUGUAGAGAUCGGGGAGGAACGACCGGUGGCGAAGGCGGGUCUCUGGGCA
rnacentral:rRNA from 1 species